rnacentral:rRNA from 1 species
UCGGGAAUAUUGCGCAAUGGAGGAAACUCUGACGCAGUGACGCCGCGUAUAGGAAGAAGGUUUUCGGAUUGUAAACUAUUGUCGUUAGGGAAGAUAAAAGACUGUACCUAAGGAGGAAGCCCCGGCUAACUAUGUGCCAGCAGCCGCGGUAAUACAUAGGGGGCAAGCGUUAUCCGGAAUUAUUGGGUGUAAAGGGUGCGUAGACGGAAGAACAAGUUGGUUGUGAAAUCCCUCGGCUCAACUGAGGAACUGCAACCAAAACUAUUCUCCUUGAGUGUCGGAGAGGAAAGUGGAAUUCCUAGUGUAGCGGUGAAAUGCGUAGAUAUUAGGAGGAACACCAGUGGCGAAGGCGACUUUCUGGACGAUAACUGACGUUGAGGCACAAAAAGUGUGGGGAGCAAACAGGAUUAGAUACC